CUAAAACAACAUGAGUGAGAAGCUGUGCAUGGCCUCUUGUAUUCUUCCUGCUCGUGCUGUUCUUGGGUACAACCAGAGGAGUUUGUUUUUCCUUCCUCAGAUGUCAGCUCCAGACUGUGCAGGCAGCACCAGGCAGAGAAAGGGGCACAAACAGGAGGGUGCGAGAAGAAGGAAUUUGGAACAGCAGAGAGAAAAGCAAUUCUCUAUAAAGAAACCUCAGAAGAAACAUAAAGAGAGGUGCCAGAAGAGGGAAAAAUGGGGACCUCAGCAGGACAGAAAGGCACCAAACAUCAGAGCCUGGGAGCAGCUGAGAGCAGUGUGCCUGCCCUAAAGGAGACAGGGCAGGGUAGGGACAAGGAAACAACCUCACCAGAACCUUGCAGGGCAGGAGCUGUGGGGACAACCACCCCCUCCUGGGCUGUUAGGACACCAAGGAUGGCUGUGAACAGGACUGAGAUUCCUGAAUAUUCAUGGAUGGAGGGGUUGGAAACCCUUGCUGGCUGUCCCUGUAGCUCUGGGAGGCUCAGGACAUGAAUGACAACUCCCAGGCACCCCACAGGUCUGUCUUGAGGGCAGUGAUCCAAAGACAGUGGCUCUCUGAAGCCCUUUGAGAUGGCAGCAGCCAAAGAGCAGGACUUGGAAUUACCCCCAGAGACAAACAAGGACUGGGCACCCUCAAACCUGCAUUUAUGAGAAAGUCACAGCACCAGAGCAUCCCAUGGGAACCACAAAUGUAAGGUACAACACUGCCUGCUGAAGUGCUUUCAGAUUCCCUGCUAGCAAGAGAUAAAUCUGUAAAGCAUUAUUGAGCUUUUAUUUGUUCAUUUAAUAUUUUCAGAUGCUAACAAAUCCUGCAGAUUUGGUCCUCUCUGCAGUAUGAGGUGAUUAGGAUCUUUUCUAUCACCGAGUGCUCAGGUUUUCCUUCUCUCAGAGUCUUUAUUCCCUGUGUGAUAAUGUGGUAGCAUGUUACAGUACCAUUUGACUUGACAGGAAUAUGUUUUUUAUUUUUGCUUUUUGAUCAGAUUCAUGUCUUACAAACACCUACUGUAAUCCUUCUGGAACAAUCACUGUUUCAAUUAUUAAAUGAAUUAAUGAAAUGAUUUAAAAUUCUAGAUUCGUGUUCGAAGCAGACUUCAGUCUCACUCUGGUUUUUCAUUCCUUGAGCACUGACACAGAAAUCAAGGUUUCAGCUGAGCC
rnacentral:lncRNA from 1 species